UCAAAAAUGUUUGGAAGGUCUACAAAAGCACUUCUGAUGGAUUUUCUUUACCCUGCUGUUUUGUUAACUCUUGGAAAGAGCGCUAACAAAUCACAGAGGUGCAUUUAUCCUUUCCUCUGAGCAAUGGCGAUCCUUUUCCUUCCCAUACUAAACUGCCACAGAAGAUUUUUGUUUGUAUUUGGUAAUUUUCUUUGCUCGUUUUGCUGGCACAGGAUGUGCAGCAGGAACAGCUGGUGCACGUCCCCCUAGGACAGCCCUUCCUUAGGGCUCUGGAACCCAGGUGUUCUGCAUGGAUCCAUGUCCUAAGCAGCAGAGGGGAAACCUGGCCACCUUACUGGAGGAGAGAAGUAGGGCUUGCUUUCCUUCGGUCCUACACGUCCGAUCUGUUGUACUCUGUGUUGAGACCCAGGGCGGCCCUUCAGAGCACUUCAGUUUGAAAGCAGGUUGGGCUGCCACCAGCACAGGGAUGCCAUAUGGGGAUGCCAGGUUACAUGUCUGUGGUGAAGAGUCCUGGUGUUCUGUAUGGAGGUACCAAAACUCCUGGUGUUCUGCACAGAGGUACUGAGGAGGUCAGCUGGCACUCAGCCCCGCCGACAGAUUGCUCCUGUUUUGCAGACUGGAGCCAGGUCUGAAAUAGCAGCAAGCACUCGCUGCCAUGCAUCCUGCAGAGAGCAGCGAAGGAUCUGUCCAGACAAACAUUUGGGGCUGGAAAUUUCUGGUAAUGGGCUGUAGAGAUGGAUUUAAAGCUUUGUAGCAGGUUGUUCUCCUGCAUUAGAUCUGUCAGUGUCUGCAGCCUUGCAUGAGCAUAUUAUGUGAGUGUGGCUGUGCAGCCAUCACCACGUGAGCGUGCCUUAUUGCUAUGUUAUCCUUUAAUUGCAUAGGGUGUUGGAAUACUUCUGGAGCACUUGGCCAUGUGAAGUGUCAGGUCAGUCCUUAACAUCUGCAUCAAGUGUUCACAGCUGGUGGGAAGCAGAGCUGGGGUGUGCAGUUUCUGUCCUGGCUUUGAUUUCUCUCUCUGCUCUAGCAAAGGCCCCACUCUGGGAGCUGCUGGGGAGCAGGUUGGGCUGGGACUGCUGCUCGUGUGUGCCUGAGCCACCAGCACUGAGCAGCCAGGGCUGGGGUGGCUUUUGUAUUGUGUGAGUGUAAUUAAAAAGAUCAACGAUGCCGGUCUUCUGCCUCCCCUCUGCUCGUGUUAGGAACAAUAGCGCUAAAUGAUGAUUGUAAUUCAUUACAAAUGCACCCUAAUUAAAUUACCCAUCAGUGGCUGUGAGAUUAAUGAUACCAACCCCGGUUAGAACAUGAUUAAAGUUGGGCUUGUCACAUUUUUCAGUUAUUAUAUGGAAGUUAACGGGGGGAAGAGACAGGGCAGAGCGGGGUGCUGUGGGAUGGCACUCAGGGAGGUGUGACUGGGGCCAGCAUGGUUGCAUUGCUUUGGGCUUUGCAAUGGAGGAGCCCCUGCAGGGCUCUGGGGGUCCAUAAGGGGGUUGUACCCUUGUUGGGGUGCUGUCACUGUGGUGGUAGGGCAGCAGCAGGGCCACGUGGGAGAUGUGGCACAGCAAGGAGCUGAGCCUGAGGCUCCCAAAAUAAGGCUUAAUCCUGAGCUCUGUUUGUGGAGCUUUGCCUUUCUUCUUCUCUUUUUUUAAUCUCUGUAUUUCUGCAUGCAGAAUAGCAUCUGAUAGUUCCUAAAUUUGUAAAAAAUAGUAGGGAAACGCAGCGGAUGACACAAGAAAUAGUACUAAAUACUACAGAGAGUCAGCUUCUCUCUUCCUUAGAGAAGUUUUAUACUACAAAUGGAUUUCAGCAGCAAAUAUUUACAAGGGGAAGACAACUCAACAACGUGUCCUUGCCUCCGGUGAAAGGAAAGUGCAAAAUUCAGGAUGUUUUUGUAUUGAGAAAGAAAAACGAGGCACCAGUGUACCUCAUCACACAGCUUUGGGAUUUUGUUGCCUCUGAAUUGAUGGAGAAGCAUUGCCUGGAGGUGUUCUGCCCAGGUGAGGGUGGGGACUGGCAGGUGGGAUGUGGGUGAUAAGAAGAGAAAGGAGUGGACCCUUGGCAUAGGGAGCAUCUCUUUGAACACCCUUGGACAGAUUGGCUGUGCUUGGCAUCAGCUCUUCUAUCAUUAUCUGGCAAAUAAGCAAGGAGGAGUUUUUUUUCAAAGCAAUUUCAUUUUCCAAUAUUGUACAUGCUGUCCUUAAAUGCCUUCACUGAUUGGAUUGCUGAGGCCCAUCCAGAAAUGGACAUUGUUUACCAGUUGGGGAUGCACUCUUAAUAGAUCUUUUCAAACUCUUUUUUGAGAAUUAGGUCUUGAAUGCUCCACGUAGAAAUAAAUUGAGCGGUGCUGUUGUUGUGCCCUUUAUAUCAGUGGAGUGGACCUCAUUAAAGCAUUGUACACAACAGCUCAGGGCUGGACCAGCAGAAAGAAAUGGAGUUCCUGGAAAUGAGAAUAAACCAAGGGUCAAAUAAGACGUGAGGAGGAAGGCAUCCAUCUGAGGCUCUGUCAUUCUGGCUGUGCUGUGUUCCCACUGUCAGAUUCCUGCUGGGGUUUGGGUUUGUGUUGUGCAGGAGGAAGCAGUGAGGGUGCUGGCACAGCCAGCACUGAGCUGAGCUGCCCUUCCUCUCCCAGGCUGCGGAGUCUCAGGCAGAUGGCACUUAUUAGCUGUGCAAACGUAAUUAGUUCGCAUCAAAGUUACUGGAAAACGUUUCUCUGGGGAAUGGAUGCUUACCAAGAGGUUCGAACCCUGCUUGGAGAAAGGGAGAUAUUAAUAUUGAAUGUAGUCAUCUCUGGGUUUGGAUGACCUUGCUUCUGUUGAUAAAAUGAUGCGUUUUCCAGGUUUUUGCGCAUUCUUUUCAGCAUUGCUGUUACUCAUAACGUUUAAAUGAUUUCCCUUGGGGAAGAUGGGGACAGGUAACCUCAAAGAGCUUUCCCCAGGAAAUUGUCUGCCAGCUCCAUCUCUUGCUAUGCUGGGGCUUGGCUGUGCGUUGUAUAGCCAGCCAGGAGGAGCACAGGCUUCCCAUGGCCAUGUGAACACCUGUACGAAGGAGAGCAGCCAGCUCAGCCAUCGGAGUGACCUCACCACCGAUUUUGGAUAACAGGGGCAGAUUCUAGAAGCUGUACUGGAGUUCUGUGGCCUAGUUCUUCUUCUCUGGAGGAUUUUCUGACCUGCCUGCGUAGCCUUGAAGCUGAAUAUUGUUCUGCUUGUUAUCGCCUUAAAAAGCUAAAUGUGUUUUUUCCUCUUUUUUUUUUUUUGGCAAGUGGCUAUACGUGUUUUUAUUUAGGACACGAUCUUUCUGUCUUUUUGUUUUUUCCUUUCCCAACCAGCUCCUGCAGAAAAGGUUGUUAGGAUUCAGGGGAAUAGCUGACUCACACGGGCAGUUGCUGAGAUGUUCCUGUAUAAUUGAGCCUUUGAAAGGGAAUUUUCCUGUAGGCAUUGCAGGGAGAAAUAGCUCUGCUGGUUCUGACACAGUCGCUGGGGAUGUCGGUGGGGAGGAGAUGUCCUUUAGCUAAGGAGAUGAGGGGGGAAACUGGGGAGUUUCCCUGGUGCUGUAGUCAGUGGUGUGAAUCCAGCCCGUGCAGAUGGAGCUGAGAAGGCGUUGCUUCCUGACCUCUUGGUCAGUGACUCACGUGAAAUGAGGUUGGGUUUAGUCCAGCUGUCUGCAGAUAAGCUGUUUGCAGAAAGCAAUCAGUGUAUCUGGCAUGGGCACGCACCCUGGGCAGCUGGCUCAGCACAGAAUGAGGAUGCAGUGAUGUCAGCAAGACCAGGCUGCAGUUCCCCAGGUCCUUGCUUUUGGCUCUAAUCUACUGCCUUGGUGCAUCUUGCAGCUUCUCUGUGGUGCAUCUUCACCUUCUCAACUUCCAGCCUUCCAGCUGGUGCCACAAAUUGGAGGGAACAAAAUCUGGAGGGUGGGGGGGAAGUUUGAGUCUGUGGCAUGGCACUGAGCCUGCUUCUGAUGCAAACUGAAGUGCACGUUCACAGGGUUCAUGUCUCUUUGGGUCAUGUCCCAUCACCUCCCCAGGGCUGCCUGCUUCCGUGCUGUGGCACCCACUGGAGCAGCUCUGGGACGGAGCUGAGAGGAGGAGGUGAGCUGUGGGUGUCAAUACCUGCCCUGGUCCUGCCAGCUCAUGGGUGAUGCUCCUUGGUUACGCAGCCAUCAGCAGAUGGGCACUGAGUUCAGCCUGAUUAGUUCUGUUCAGUCGGCAAGGCCAAGGCAAAGUUGCUUCGUGUCUCAUCCCAUAUGGUGGCUCCUGCUGUCACCGUUCUUGCAGGAAAAGCUUUGUGCAGGCUCCUGGUCUCGAGUUCAGCCCUUGUUCUUCUCAAUGAGUAAAAACCAGUGGUGGAAAUGUUAGUGCUUCUCAGGUGUGUGUUGCAUCCUGUGAGUGACACAGGACAUCUCAUUCUGCGGGCAUGUGGAAGGUGGCAUUGCUUCAUCCCCAUGGCUGCUCCCUUGUCACAGGGCAGGGACAGGAUCCCAAGGGAACGAAGUUGUCCAGGAGCCAGGCUGUGCCUCAGGUCUGUGGGCAGAAAGGCAAAAAUUAAUGAAAAUUAAUUCAGAACAGAUGCCUGAAUGGUCACUUGGUAGUUGAGGAAGGAAUGGGAGGACUUAACUGAGGCAAUUUGGGUGACUCCAACUUGGUCAUCAUGUCUUCUGUUGGAAGAGAUCACUGGGAUCAGUCUUGUGUGUGUAAUCAUUCUCUCCUCAGUGAUAUAAACUCUUCCAUUUUUCUUAACCCCAGCAACAGGCUGAGGACCUUGCUCAGUAAAAUUGUACCAUGUACAGCUGUAUGCAGCCAGCUCUCAGGGAGGGCCAAAGUGUUUGGGGUUGGUGUAUCCCACCCUGCAGGGAGACUGUAGGAGAUGUGGCUGAUCCCAUGUUGUCUUAGGGUGCUGUGGCACAUCACAAUGGACGAGGCUGUUCUGUGCUGCUUGAGUGCUCUAAUUAAUCACCUGUGGCACUUUGUGCCUCUGGUUAUUUUGGCAAAAGGGAGCCAAGGGCCUGGCACAGCCCCACGAAGCAGAGCACAUCCGAUCUGCUGAAGAGGAACUGCUGCAGAUGGAGCUGCUUGUGUCUUCAUGGUUGUUGCCACAUGCUUUUCCUGAUCAAUUGGAUGAGAUCGACAUAGAUCCAGUUUGUUUCUUUCCUUCCUCUGUGAUUCUGGGCUUAUUAGCCCUGACAGUUAUUUAUUUGUCCUUAGUUGUAGGCUGAAGCAGCUUUAUGGAGAAUGUGGGAAGCAUGUCUUUUCUAAUUAGACCACAGUCUGUUGUCUGUCUGCCUUAUGGGCAGGACACAGCAUGCUGUUUUGCAGUUUAUGAUAGCAGGAAGCCCUGGAUGCAGGAGGUCACGCUGGGAUUGUUUCUGAGAGGUUUUACAGCAGCAAUGCAGAGCAUCGGCAUCCCUGAGACUAAGCUGGAAACAAAAUCCCACCGUUUUUAUUCUCCUCUAAUUUCCCCAAUUAAAGCACUUAAAUUAUACAGGGGCACGAUGUGGGGCAGUCGGAUCUGAGAGCAAGCAGGCGAUGGCAAUGUGGUGUUGCAGGAACUUCUUCCAACAUACUUCCAUGUCCCCUGAGCAGGAGGCAGCUCACAUGGAGCGUCCUGGCUCUGGCAGGAGCUGUUCUCAGGUGUAUUGAAGUAAUGAAGAAGCUUGCACCUUUCCUUUUCCCAGCGUGGUUCUAAUGCAAAAUAUGUGUUAUUUCGCAUCUAUGAGACAGGUAGCUUUGUACAAUCUGGUAACUUCUCUAACAUAUGAAAGGUACUGUGGUAUCUCUUGCAUCUUGCCUGACAGCAACAGGCAGGACCUCGUGCCCAGCAGCCCCUGUUCCUUGCUGGCAAUGAAGGAGUGAAGUUUGUUCUUAUUCCUCUGGGGAAGCUGGGAUGGAGAGGCGUCUGCCAGCAGCAUUUCACCGACCUUCCUCUGAGUUUGGCUGAGGACAGCGCACUCAGCUGUGCCUCUUCCAUUUGCCCCUGCUUUUAGCAGAGGGGACUGUAACGAGCCGUGUUCGUUAUCCUGAAUCACAGGGCUUGGUGACUCCUUAAAUAGCAGCUUUCCUCUUUCUUCAGUCGCUGGCUCAAUGCCCAGGGAAAAUAGUGGGUUGAGACUAUGAAGCAACAACUUUUCUUUUUUUCUGCCACAGUGCUUUCAAACUGUAUGUCUGUUUAGAAACAUUAAUCAUUGUAACUGCUGGGUGAAAAUCUGCUGCCUGUCUUUACUCGUACCUGUGCGAGCAGCCGACAGCAGCGAGCUGUUCUUUCUAUGGGUGAUUAAGAAGGAGAAGAGCUAAGCUUCCUACAGCUGACUGUAUCUUCUUUCUCAAUUUGCUUUCCUAUCACUUUAAGUUAGAGAUACUCUUAGCUAUUCUGUUGUGAACUCACCUUGUGCUGUGAUCUUUUCAGUGGUUGCAAACUGUGCAAGGUUAGGCCGGGUUAGUGGAAAACUAAAGUAAAAGUCGGUCAGAAGGUUUUGCAUUUAAAAGCACCCUUGUCUGUGACAGCCACUGACACAGCAGCUGCCAGGAGGGGCUGCGUUGCCUAAGGGCCUGCCCUGCAGAGGAAGCAUGGAACUACUUGCAGGUCUUCGUGUCUUGUGGUGUUUUCGUAAGAGUGAGUGUAAUUCUUGACAAAUAUUAAUGUAAUUACAUAGUAGCUAUUGAAAGUCUCUCCCCGAAGAUUUGACAAAACGCAGCUGGUAUUUGCAUCUCCUUUCCAACCUGUCCUGGAAUCAGUAAGUGGUGUUAACAGGGGCUGUGUGAUUAAUAGCGUGAUUCUUCAAAGUGUUUUCCAGGCAAUAAGUACCUAAUCCAGUUUGAUUCUUAUAGGGAAAAGAGAUCCCUCUGUAUUACUUGUAGCAUUUUAAUUUAGUAAAUCCCUCAAGAAUUUCUGAGAGGCAAAACAAAUCCCAUGCACACGAUAGCUAUGUUCUAAAAUGGUACCAGGUGACAGCCAGCCUUCCUGCACAUCCCGGAUGCCAACCACAUGUGCUGCUCCCAGUGUCCCCACGUCCAGGUGUUCCCUGCAGGUGACAAGAGGAGCGUGGCCAUGCAGGUGGGAUGCUCCUCGUGUCAAGUGCAGGGCGUGCAAGGCGGCUCACUGGCUGUUCCAGCACAGUCUGUGCCCAGAUGGUGGGAAGCUGCUGAGUGCGCUGCGUUACCUGGGGCACUACAGAACACCUGGUUGUGACUUCAGAAAGAGGGUUGCAUGGGUGAUUGGGCUCACACAAACGGUUCUGACUGGUGCAGUGACAUGCUCCUGGAUGAGCAUUCACAUAAACCAGGCGCAGGAGAGGAGAUCGUAGCUUUCAGCGCUCAGGAGAGCAUCAAAUAGCUUCGCUUUCAAAUCAAAGUGAGAUUGCAGUGGUUGUGUUGUCAUUGUCCCCGUUCCGCUGCUGUGGUCUUUGCGAGGAGGAGGCGUCUUUGGGGAGCGGGUCCAGCCAGGCUCGUUGCUAUGGCAAAGUCUCUGCUGAUGCCUGCUCUCUGCCUGCAAUUGCUAUUCAGCAGCUGUUUCCAGUGGUCGUCUGGAGGAACUCGCACAAGUUAUGGACGUGAAAAUCCUUCCCUAUAUGUUGACCUUCGCUGGAGCUGAGCUUUGACAAGAGAGAUGCAUUAGUUUCUAAAGCCACCAGUAAUUAGGUUGGUUUGAGUGUACUUUGCUGAAAGUUUAGGCUCUGGGGCUGGGAAAGGGAAGGUGGAGGGAGAAGGAGCAACUUUAAAAUCAAUAUUGCAAAUGCAAUGCAAAAGAGUGUAAUUAGCAUGUUUUGCAGGGCCUAUUAAUUCCUCUGAAAUGCUGUUUAUUAGGCAAAAGAACUUGGGAGCCCAUCAGUGGAUUAAACAGGUUCUGUAAUGAAAUGUAAAUGGUGUAAUUGGGCUUGUUCUGAAAGUAUUUAUUCUUCACCUGUGACCUGCUUGAUUGCGGUUUGACAACACGAAGGAGUGUGCAUCUCUUCGUUAAUGACAGCUAAUUCCCUGGAGCUAAUGGAGUGGGACGCCCAGGCACAUGGCGCUGGGAACGGCAGGUCGUGCCUGGAGCUCCGCAGUGAUUGGCACCAAUCCGAGCACAAUGUAACUUUAAUUACAGUAAUUCCGAAUCCAAAGCAAGCAUUUAGCUGCCGCGGAGAGGCUCUUCAUUUUGCAAAUAGAUGCCAUAUAAUAGGCUGACCUUUUAUUAGACCAAUAUUGGGAUGGGUGGGAAGGCUGUCCUCCCUGAUACAGGUAACGUUAUUGGCUGCCAUUAGCUCAGUGGAAAUCACAGAGGCGUGUUCUCGCUGCCAGGUUUGCCAUAUGGAUUUCUUUCUAUGUGCAAUGUCGUGGAGGCAGGAGGGAAAUGCGGUGCUGUAUGUUAUUUAAAUUCAGUCUUUGCAUCAAGGCAUGAAAUUCAUCUGCUGCUCCUCUGCCUUAUGUGUGUGCUUCUGUCUGGGUAGGCCACUGGGAUUCUUCCCGUUGUUGUUUUUCCCUUUGUACAAAUCUUCUUUAUCCAAACUCUGUAGUGCUAAAGAUCUCCAGGCACACAGGAAAGGUCGCGCUGCUCUCUUGGAGCAAGAAGCUCCAAGAAAAAAAAAUCUGUUUUUUUUCUGGCCUUCUGGUACCCAGCAUUGAGUGCUACCAUAGGUGCUGGGUGCACUCUGCCUUCCUAGGGUUGAGAUGCACACGCGGUUGUGUCUCCCUGCACUCUACUGGAGAGGAGCUGGCAGAGAGGAGCCUGAUGUCCUGGGAGGGGUGGGCAGCUCAGCACACACCUGUGUGUGUGUGUCAGUGGGGACCAGCAAUCUUCCUGAAUCCAUUAAGCCUCCAACCUUACUUUCUGUUAGCUCGGUCUCUCUCUUAAGCAGCGGCCUUGUUAGAGUUGAAAUGAACCCAAGCAGGGAAGCCUUCAUCCGAGUAAUGUACAGGUCUGUGUGUUUGGAUUUGGAAUAAGCCCCUGGGGAACGGCUGUGGGCUGUCAUCGUCAGCGUGUGGAGCAGAAACAAUACAAUUUCUGCGAGUAAUGCCUUUCUUUUCUGCUUCAUUAUUCUUGCUCCGUUCCUUCUUUCCAUUCACGAGCUGUGAGGCAGAGAGGUGGGAGUGGAAGCAUGGUCACAGUCUCUGUUCCUGGAGCUGGGACAUGCUGCACGGAGAGACCGCGCAGAGGACAGCUGUACGCUACGGAGAAAAUGGCCUGACUGGUAGGCACUGUGCCACCUGAACAAGUGUUUGGGAGCCAUCAAGUGGGGAAUACAUAAAGGAUGUUAGAGAGAAUGAGAGACAAUGGGGUUUUGUUGCUGCAGUGGAGCACUGGCCAACGCGAGGCAGUUGUCUGAAAGCAGGCCAGCACUGAGAUGAGAACAGUGGCAAAUGGGAGGGAGCAUCGUGGUGAGGCCAGGCAUGUUGCUGCUUCCCAGCAGAUGGCUUUCCAUGUAUGUUGCCUAAUCCCAGCAGAAAUAAUGCCUUCUCUGGAUGCACUUCUGCUCCUGUUCGUGUACAGCAGUCUUUUUGUGUGCUGUAUUUGUGCAUCAUGGGGACCCGUUGCUUGGCAUGUAUCUGGAGGAGAGCCUCCUCCUGCACUGAGCAGGAUCUCCUGGUGUUCACUGGGUCUCGUUUUCCAACCCCUUUCCCUAAAGCACGGAAGAUGGAGCUCCCAAGGGAAUCUUGCUGGGAAGCAGUAGAUGGAGAGACCAUGGUAGCAUUGCAAGAGAGAUCUUCUUGACAAAGAAAAGUAAUUCUGAUCAUCUUUAGAAAAAUCAGAAACCCUCAGGUUUCUCCAUGUCUUUUCCUUCAUCUUUGUUAAUCUACCGAUCUGGACCCUGAUGAUGAUUCCUUUGGUCCCAGCCCCUUCUGCUCAGCCUGCUCCCAGCCAGCUGCUGCCAAAGCCUUCAGUGUGCAGAGGAUUUGCAGUAACAGUUUUUAGCAGGCAGCCCUGGACCACAGGCAGGAAUGAGGCAGAUUGCAUACGGCCUGUAAUGCUGACAAUAAACCCAAAAUAGAAAUAUUGUCUAUGGCCUCCAUAGAAGCCCAAUUUUUGGAGUUAUUUAAUCUUGCAGCUUCCAGCUACGUGCUUCUGGCUGCUGGUAAAGCCCAAUCUGGCUUUCUAAAUUCAGACACUUUUCUUUUUUAGCACAUACAGAGAUCGUAUUUACCUGAACUAUCUGUAUAAGUGGUGAAGCAUUCAGGCAACUGGUAGAGAUGAUGGAGUUACCUAUGAGACUGUCAUAAAUAUUUAUUUUCCUGGUGACAGUGUAACCUGUCUGAGCAUUGGUAUCAGCCACCCCAAGGCAGAGGGAAGGCAGGGAGCUGUGUUCUGGCUUUGUAUGGAGAACCUUGGGUCCGGAGGAAUGCAGUGCUGCUGGUGUAGCCAGAUGCCUCAGGAUGAGGAGGGGAGAGCUCUCUACCAAUUUGUGCAGCUGUUUCAUAUUUUUUGCCCUUCUAUGUUCCAUUUCAUACUCAAAUAACCAUUUUUUUUCCCAUAAAUUACACGCACAUAGAAAGCUGUAAAGAAUAGUGGUGGGGUUGCUGUCCCUGGAGGUGUUCCAGAACCGCAGAGAUGUGGCACUGAGGGAUUGCUUUGGUGUUGUGGUAGGGAUGGGUUGGGGUUGUGCUUGGUGGUCUUUCCCAACCACGAGGAUUCCUUUUCUUUCUUCUCCAGUCAUUAUCCUAAAAGGUUUUUGAGGAAGGGACUCUGCCUAUGUCCUUUCCCCACAAAUACCUGCUGUAUGUUGGGCACUAAACAAAUAAGAAAUAAGUGCUGUACCAGAAAGCUGUUGGCUGGGUUAACACUGCUGCUCUGGUGCAGGACUGCUGGUGGUCUGUGCUCAGGGCAAGCAGCAACUCCCAUCCAGGAGCACAGAACUUUGAUCUCUAAAGGGAGAGAUUAUUCCUCCUUUGAGAUAAAAAAAAACAGCGAUGGACUGACAGCAGUAAAACACAGCCAUUUGAGAGGCUCCUCCAGCAUUUUACUGAGAUUACAUCUCCGAAAGGAGCUGUUAGAAGGGACGAAGAGACGGAGUGGCAGGUUAUGUGACCACUGUGACUCAUUAAUAGAAGGAAAUUUAUGUCUGGAGUACUCGCACAACUGGCGUGCACCAACUCUUAGGAGCGGAUUCCUUUCUUCUUCUCGUGCUGCCGUUGCCUGAAGGACUCUGUGGGAAACAUGGGUUCCCCCAGCAGCAUCCCGUGUUGCUCAGGCUCCAGCCUCAGCCCAGCAGUGCCACUGGGUGGACUCCACACUGUGUGUCUGUGUGGCUUUGGCUGUGACAGCUGGUUACAGAAAGCAAUCAUUCAGACAUAGGUGUCUGGCAGCCUUUAAUUUCACUGGGGUAGGGCUUUGGGUUGUUUUCUUUUUGACUUUGUGGAAGUAUCAGAGCACCAAGGCAUGGUUGCUGAGAGGUGAUGAGGGAGAUGCUUGUUUUAUUGAAUUUCGACCUCUGUUCCAAUAAAUCAUAACCCAAACUGAUGUGAAAAGUGAUCUUUCGCCAGUGUUAGCACUGCCAGAAAACAAGUCAAUAGAGACCAAACCUUUCACCCAAAGGUCCUCAGGCCAGGUCUGGGUCCCUGCCAGAAGUGACAGAAAAUCACUGACACUGGGCCAUAUUUUUUCUCUCCAGAAAGGGGUUCUGACCUCUCUCUGGCUGCUGUUUAAGAGCAGGUGUGUGAAUGAAACAGAAACCACCAUGGCCCUGCGUCCUGCUCAGUGAUCUAGAGACCACCGUGCUAAUUUUUGCUGUCUGAAAAGGAGAGGACGUGAGCCUGCCCUAUCCACAGGCUGAGCUGGCUGCCCUCCUGCCUCGGCAUCAGUCCGGGGAAGAAAUGCACUAAAAGACGGUAAAGAGACAAAUGGUAGAAAUUUGUUGGUUUGGUUUGUUUUCAUUCAUUAUCUGGUGUUUGCGGUCAACGUGACCCCAGCCUUUUGUCCCAGCUUUGCCUCAUUCCCAGAAAUUGGAUCAGGAGAGACAGUCGGAGCUCUUCCCAACUCCCUCAGCCUGAUUGCUGUCUCCCAACUAUUUUCUGCUGUCUACCUAAAACCCACGCAGCAGUGUGUGAUGCCAUUAAAAUACCCAGCACCUCUGGGUUUGUAGCUGUAGUUUAGCAUUUGCUACUUGGUGGAUUCCUCCCAGAUCCCCCCAGAUACCUACUGUGGCAUCAUGCUCACACACAACUGCCAUGCCACUGUUCAGCACCGAUAGAAGCGUAAAGAAAACUGCUGUUAUCGCUCAAUUUAAAGCAAAUUAAAAUGCAUCUGCAGCAACACUCCAGUUCACAGAGAGGAGGCAAUUAAUGAUGAAUGAAGUCAACUAGUGGUUAGCAUAAGUUAGGAUGAGGUACUUCGUGAGAAGAAACGUUUCUGUGACUGUGAAGCAGUGCUGACAUGGGAGGAUCGGUCUCAAGGCAACAGCACAGCUGUUCUCAUCUUCUUUUCCCAGCACUGACUCACUGAAAGAUGAUACUGCUUGGAGAUCCCACAGGUAGCAGUGUAGCUUUGCCCUGGAGUUGUGUUGCUUGCUGCGUGUUUGUGCUUGCAGCAAUGCUCGGAGGCCAGAUCUGUUCCCAUCUGAAGCAGGCAGAAGUAUGGCAGGGCUGAGCAGUUGAGCAGGAGUGUUGCAAAGGAGAAGAUGAUGUGCCAGGCCUGGGUUUGGAGAUUUCCAGUUAGGAGCUGCGUUCAUGUAGCCAAGCAGUGCUGAGAACUGAAGUUUCACUGACAGAGCAGAAAAUCAGCUCUUGUUCAGAGCAGGAUUUGAGGAACAGAGGGAUCUCAUGGGUGCGGAGGAGAGUUGCGGCCCUGAAAGUCCUCCCACAGAGAACAUGCAGCUAAAAGAGGGAGAGGAGAAAGCACUCCUCAAGGCAUCUUGGCAAGAAGGAGAGUAAAGAGAAGCACAUGUGCGAGAGAAGUGGGAGGAGAGGAGGAAAGCGAUCCAGGAACUCCCAUCAGCUUUAGGAGAAGAGAUGCUUGCAGGUAAUGUGCCGUGCAGACAGGAGCAAAGCAGCACUAGGAGGAGACAACAUCUUUCUAUAGAGAAGAAAACAGAUAGUCUAAAAGUGCCUCUUCUGGGGUCUUCCAGCAGCAUCACCUGGCAUGUCUGUCUUUCCCUUAUCCUUUUCUGCCUCCGCUGAGGAAGUGCCACUGAUGUUUGAGAAGAUGUACAAAGUCUGAAACCACCUUCCAACAUCAACUCCUUUGUUACCUGUAUCAGAAGAGGAGGAAGGAGUGGUGAGGUAGAGAUGUGAUGGAUAGCAUAAGGCAUCUCUUUUUCAUCACAUCAUUAUUUCAACCUGAUUUUUUCACUGUACAAUGGAGAAGUUGGAACUUCUCACUGGACAGUCUCUCUUCCUCCUUCCUCACCUCAAGAUCUAAACGUCUCAGAGCCUGGAGAAUUUCCUUAUAAUUAACUUAAAAAAAGGGUAGCUUAAUAAGAAGCUUGAUCACAGACUAAGUUCUUACACAGAAAGAUGAUUCUGGCUAGUGAAGAGCUCUCUAAUCUGUUGGACAAAAGCGUAACAAGAUCAAAUACUGGAAGUAGAAACCAGGAAAGAUUAGAAAUAAGGAAAUGCUUUUGUUACAACAGGGGUAAUUAACCAUCAGAACUAUUUAUCUCAGUACGUGGGGGAUUCACUAUCACUUUGAAGUGUCUAAAUGAAGAUGGGAUAUUCUUGUACAAGAAAUGUUCUAAGUCAGCUUGCAAUUAUGAGCUUGAUGCAGAAUCUGCUUUGCUUAAUUCACUAGCUUGUGCUUCUCAUCAGUUUAGAUUGGCUGAUUCUUACAAUUCUUUUGAGCUCUGCAAUUUGUGAACCAAUGAGAAAUCAGAGGUACUGAUGAACAGAACACCUGAUAGUGCAAAUACUGGUAACAGCAAGUAGUGGAAGGCUGCAAAAGGCUCCUUUGAAGUAGGAAAGAGAAAUGUAUGGCAGCUUUUACCAGCAACUGGAUAAUUCUGCUGAAAGGAAAAUGGCUUUCCUGAGCUUCAGUACUGGUGGGGCUGUAAACACAUCUUAUGUCAGAGGCAGCUGAAGUUGUUGUGGACUCAUCAGACUGGUCACACCGUGCUUGUACUGCCACAGGACUGAAAAUGCAAUGGUUUCCUUGGUCCCAGCUUGUAGCAUUCCUAUUUCAAGCUAUUCCCAGACAUAAUUAAUCCAUUCAACACCAUCCCUUCUUGUUACCAUCACUCGUUUUAUGGGCAAAGACAGUUGGGGUGGCGUGGAGAUUGCACUGAAGCAAUUAAGGGAAGAAGUUGUCAGAGCUGGGAUGAAUACCCCGGGCUCCAGAGCACCGUCUCAUCUCAGAAUUACUAAUGGAGAGCUGGGAAAAGUAUGCCUUCCAUUGGCUUGAAUUUGAUCUUCCUUUCUUAAAUAGUACUAAUGGCAGCAGGAGGGGGCUGGCAGCACACAGCAGUGAGCAGGCUCCGCCGGGAGCCCCGCUGGGUUGCGCCCGAGGCUUCAGAGCUCGUUUGUGUCUCCGGCAGCCUGACCCCGUGGUGAGGAUAAUCAAGUUGAAAAUUAAAUCAAAUUUCAAAUGUUAAACCAGCCAAUUAAAAAAGCAAUCACAUCAAAACAUGCAUUUUUAAAAAGUUUUUGUUUACUCUGCCAUAAUUAAUUUAUUGAGCAAGAAAACUUUUCGUUUGUACAAAAUACUUGUUAAAUUGAUGAUGAGCAGCAGAAGGGAGCGGAGAUGCAACCAAAAUGUCACCUGAAGUUCCCCCAAGAUCUGGCUGAAUUAAUGUUCUGGGGAGCAUCUUCUUCCCACCGGGAGCAAACUGUGAUGCAUCUUUUUGCUAGGUGCAUGACUGUAGACACUCAUUGCUAUUUGUGGUCUGUCCAUUAACCUGAAAAAUGCCUUUCAUCAAAUAACGUAUCAUCUCCUUGCUUUGAUUUCCCUCGAUGCCUUUGUUGAGAAGACUGAGUGGCUGUGGGUUGGGCACUUGACUCUUUGGAAUUCAUCACUUUGUGUGCCCUCAGCAUCCCUUUCUCUGGUUUCCUGCAUGUCAGAGUUGUUGCUGUCUGUUUGUGUGGCCUGUGGUCUAUAGGAGGAGGUUCUGUUCUCUCUUGAAAUUCCUCAUGGAAUUUCAUUGUUGAAACCUUUGUGAGUGUUUCUCAGUACAUAAGGUUGCAGGUAUGCCUUUUCCUUCUUGUUUUACCACAUGAAGCAAGGGCUGCAAAGCUUGUCGUGUCAUGAAGCUUCAGAAAGCUUCUUGCUUCCUGCCAUCACCUCUGCCUGCCCCUUCCCCUCCUUCUCCCAUCACCCCCAUUCACCUAAAUUAAGUAACUAAAAUCUGAAAGAAGCAGCCACCGUCUGUUCUGGAGGUUUAAAAUUAACCAUAAAAGCCAAUUCCCCCGUUCUGCAGUGCAGCAGCAAAACGUGGUGGGGGAGGCUGACAUGUGGGUGUCCGUCAUUCUGCCGGACUUGAGGCUCUGUCUGAGGAAUGACGUGUAAUUUUUAAAUGAAGAGCAACGAGGGGUGCAGUUGCCGAAAAAGCCUGACAAAAAAUACCAGUCUUACAGUCUGUGUGGACCUGAAGAGGAAUGUGAGCCCUGACAGAUCAAUGGUGGGUAGAAAACAGCAGGGGUGGGCUACAGAUGGGAGGGAAUGGCCUCAGGUUGUGCUGGGGGAGGUUCAGGUUGGAUAUUAGGAAGAAUUCCUUCUUUAAAAGAGUAGUGAAGUAGUGCAUUGGGACCAGCUGCCCAGCGAAGUGGUAUAGCCACCAUUCCUGGAGGAGUUCCAGAGCCAUGGACAUGGAAUCCUUUGGGCAUGGCUCAGUGGGGUGGUAGGUGGAUGGUUGGACUGGAUGAUCUUCCAGGUCUCUUCCAACCUUGAAGAUUCCGUGAUUCCAGCCCAAGGCCAGGAAUAGGGGAGCAGAUGGUUUGGUUGGCUCUGCUUUGUGGAUGGUCUGAACAGAUGUAGCAAGGGGACAGCUCUUCUCUGUGGGGCUGGGGAUGCGAUGGGGAUGCUUACCAAAGCAAACCCUGGAUAGCUGCUUGCUCACAACUUGUGAUUACUGGAGUAACUGGGUGCAACCUAAGAAGAAAUGGGUUGGAAAGUGCUAUGGCAAAUGUCUUAGGACUUAGAGUUUGCUCUCCAUCAUUCAGCAGCAAUUCAUUUGUGGCAUUUGGUGACUGGAAUUCCUUAUGUUUCCUCCCAACCCGUUGUUGUUCAGGGCCUGGAAGCAACCACCACAAGUUUGCAGUUGCCUGAACUUUUCGUUACUAAUUAAUCCCGUCUUUAUUCACACAGCACUCCAUUUGCCUCAGACAGUGGAUAAUAAACACCGAUCAAGCAGGCAGCGAUGAUAAAUUAUCUAUUUAAUAAUUAACAAAUUAGUCCUAACAGAUGGAACCAAAACAAAUUUGUCUGUAUGUGCACACAGCACACGGCUCGCCUCCCUCUGUUUGUCACAUGGGGAUAUCACCAGAGAUUUGGGCACGUCUCUGCUGAUGUUGGGCUGGUUGCCCUCACCUGCCAUGAGCUUAUCUCUGGCUCUGCUGUGGUUCCUUCUAAAUCUGAUAUGCUCUGAGUGCUGGCAGUGAAUGAGUGUCACGGAGGAAGAGUGACAGAGGAGAGCAGAGGGGAAUCCCUGCUUUUUUGGUGUUAGGGCACAGCAGCCUCCCUGCAGAAGGAUCAGCUGCCUGUUGUGAUCUGUUAUGUUGAAUUAAUAGAGAUUACAGUCCCUCUAAUUCUUUCUGCUAUUAUCUGGCGAAGAAUAAAAAGUCAAUGCACCGCUGAGUUAAAUAAACAUGAGGCACUACAGCAUAGUAUCCUGUGAGCUGUGUAUAUAUUAUUCAUUUCCAGUUAUUAUUCAUGACCUUUCCCUCACACCGUCAUGGCUCCAUCACUUGUGAAUUUAUAAGUUCAUUAAUAAUGAGUGAAAAUUAAUAAUGCAUUUUCAUUAUAUCCAUCGGGGAUAUUUACAGCAUUCAUAAUGCAUUCAAAUAACUGGUUUGAGGUGUAAAAAUAAAACCGUGGCUCUUCCGUGGGCCCUCACCUUUUUGAUUUUGGAGAGUUACUAUUUCUGUUAAUAACCCUUCCUGCUUCCAUUGCAGUAUGGCCUUGCUGCGUAAUAGCCUGCCAUCUGCCAGCGUGCUUAAAAAGGCUCGAAUCAAAGCAGGAAAUGUCAUUAUUGCGUGAGAUUAGGAGAAGAUGAACCACAAAUUAAUCAUUAUUGGAAGCGACGCCAAAAAUUAAGGGAGUGUGGGAAAGGUUUGAAGUUCAGCUGCUUCCUUCUCCUCUCCUCCACUGGUUGCAUUUGUUGGGUAUUGAAGAGCACAGCGAUGUGGAAAUGGGAACAUCUGAUCCUCCCAGGCUCUGGGAGCACCAUUACUUGCUGUUAAGGUGCACAGAGAUUUAUUCCGGUGGUUGCUUCGAUGUACACCUUGGACAGACACGCCAUAGCAGGUCACAGUGUUGUGCUUUAUUUUAAUUGGAAGACGCCCACUUGGUUCCCUUUCUCAUCUGGCGCCGUUUAAUCCUGUAGUUCUUUAGAACUUGAACUUUUGCAAGCUUUCCUUUUCUGUUCUUUUUUUUUUUUUUUUUUUUUUUUUUUUUUCA